rnacentral:siRNA from 1 species
UGCUAAUUCAUAGGAUUGUGCCA